rnacentral:rRNA from 1 species
UACAGAGGUCUCAAGCGUUGUUCGGAUUCAUUGGGCGUAAAGGGUGCGUAGGUGGCGCGUUAAGUCAGGUGUGAAAUUUCGGAGCUUAACUCCGAAACUGCAUUCGAUACUGCCGUGCUUGAGGACUGGAGAGGAGACUGGAAUUUACGGUGUAGCGGUGAAAUGCGUAGAUAUCGUAAGGAAGACCAGUGGCGAAGGCGGGUCUCUGGACAGUUCCUGACGCUGAGGCACGAAGGCCAGGGGAGCAAACGGG